UUAGUGGCGAACGGGUGAGUAACACGUGAGUAACCUGCCCUUCACUUCAGGAUAAGCCUUGGAAACGGGGUCUAAUACUGGAUAUGACUCAAGCUCACAUGGGUUUGGGUGGAAAGAUUUUUUGGUGGGGGAUGGGCUCGCGGCCUAUCAGCUUGUUGGUGAGGUAGUGGCUUACCAAGGCGACGACGGGUAGCCGGCCUGAGAGGGUGACCGGCCACACUGGGACUGAGACACGGCCCAGACUCCUACGGGAGGCAGCAGUGGGGAAUAUUGCACAAUGGGCGCAAGCCUGAUGCAGCGACGCCGCGUGAGGGAUGAAGGCCUUCGGGUUGUAAACCUCUUUCGUCAGGGAAGAAGCGAAAGUGACGGUACCUGAAGAAGAAGCACCGGCUAACUACGUGCCAGCAGCCGCGGUAAUACGUAGGGUGCGAGCGUUGUCCGGAAUUAUUGGGCGUAAAGAGCUUGUAGGCGGCUUGUCGCGUCUGCCGUGAAAACCUAGGGCUUAACUCUGGGCG
rnacentral:rRNA from 1 species